rnacentral:snoRNA from 1 species
CCCCUCUCAGGGUCGCACCUGGAGAGGUUCCAGUCCUCUACCAGUCUUGGCUACGGGAGGGAGAAUCAAGCAGAGGGCUACCCAUUCCAUUCCUAGCUUGGCCAGUGGCUAGCAAACAGAAGGCAAUCUGCUACAAGU